UACAGAGGUGGCAAGCGUUGUUCGGAAUUACUGGGCGUAAAGCGCACGUAGGCGGAUAUUUAAGUCAGGGGUGAAAUCCCAGAGCUCAACUCUGGAACUGCCUUUGAUACUGGGUAUCUCGAGUAUGGAAGAGGUGAGUGGAAUUCCGAGUGUAGAGGUGAAAUUCGUAGAUAUUCGGAGGAACACCAGUGGCGAAGGCGGCUCACUGGUCCAUUACUGACGCUGAGGUGCGAAAGCGUGGGGAGCAAACAGG
rnacentral:rRNA from 1 species